AUUGAACGCUGGCGGCAGGCCUAACACAUGCAAGUCGAACGGUAGCACAGGAGAGCUUGCUCUCUGGGUGGCGACCGGCGCACGGGUGCGUAACGCGUAUGCAACCUACCCUGUACUGAGGGAUAGCCCGGAGAAAUUCGGAUUAACACCUCAUAGUAUAUGUCAUUCGCAUGUUUGACAUAUUAAAGGUUACGGUACAGGAUGGGCAUGCGUCCCAUUAGCUAGAUGGUGAGGUAACGGCUCACCAUGGCGACGAUGGGUAGGGGGCCUGAGAGGGUGGUCCCCCACACUGGUACUGAGACACGGACCAGACUCCUACGGGAGGCAGCAGUGAGGAAUAUUGGUCAAUGGGCGCAAGCCUGAACCAGCCAUGCCGCGUGCAGGAAGAAGGUCCUAUGGAUUGUAAACUGCUUUUAUUUGGGAAUAAACCUCUUUACGUGUAGAGAGCUGAAGGUACCAAAUGAAUAAGCACCGGCUAACUCCGUG
rnacentral:rRNA from 1 species